rnacentral:rRNA from 1 species
UGGGGAAUUUUGGACAAUGGGCGCAAGCCUGAUCCAGCCAUGCCGCGUGUCUGAAGAAGGCCUUCGGGUUGUAAAGGACUUUUGUCAGGAAGGAAAUCCUAGUGGCUAAUACCCAUUGGGGAUGACAGUACCUGAAGAAUAAGCACCGGCUAACUACGUGCCAGCAGCCGCGGUAAUACGUAGGGUGCAAGCGUUAAUCGGAAUUACUGGGCGUAAAGCGUGCGCAGGCGGCUUGUUAAGCUUGAUGUGAAAUCCCCGGGCUCAACCUGGGAACUGCAUUGAGGACUGGCAAGCUAGAGUGCGGCAGAGGGGGUUGGAAUUCCACGUGUAGCAGUGAAAUGCGUAGAGAUGUGGAGGAACACCGAUGGCGAAGGCAGACCCCUGGGUCGACACUGACGCU